UAAUGUCACCUGUUUGAACUGAUUAUCUGUUUAAAAGACACCUGUUCACAGCCAGAUUGCAACCUCUCCACCAUGUCCAAGAGCAAAGAGCUGUCCAAUGAUAGUGGAAAUUGUAGGAAAUGACUGGGAUGAACCAAACAAUUAAUAGAAAACAUGGAAAAAUAAAAGAUCACUGACCAUCUCCCUCCACCUGGCGUUCCAUGAAAGAUCUUGCCUGGUGUGCUACAAAUCAUCUUGAGAGUGGGCUUAAGCCAGCACAUGUCCAGGCCUGUCUAAAGGCUGCCAAAGAUCAUCUAAACUAUCGUAUGGAGGAUUGGACCAGUAGGAGAAUAGGGCUGUAAUGGCACCUGAAUAAACGGUUCCAGCUGUUCUUCCAGGGAGCCUUCUACUGGAAUUCUGAUGUUGCAGGGUGGAGUGAAGUGCCAGGGCCACAGCGUCUUCUCCUGUUGGGGCGGUGGACAAACUGAUGGGGGGACCACGUUCACAGAGGACUUGAAGAUUCGGGGUGCAGAGAGAUGUUGAAGAUGUCUGUGUACACCUAUGCUGGCUGCUCUGCGCAAGUUUUCAGAACUCUUGGUGGCACGUGGUCCGGUCCCAUCGCCUUGUUCAGGUUCACCUGCUUCAGGGCCCUGAGGACCUGUGUGUGGGACACCUGCAGUGCAGCCUCUUCCGGGUCCCAGGAGGCCUUUAGGGACAUAUGUUUUAGUUUCAAGUGCAUUUUUCUGUUUCAAGUGCAAAAUUCUUAGAGCACAAAAAAAUAAGUUUUAAGCUCAAAACAGUGAGUGUUGCACUUGGAAUAAUGGCACAAAAAUCACUUCAAAAAGGUAUUAAUCUCUGCGGUGUCCUUUUGUUCAUGUGUGGGUUUUCUCCAGUCAUCCUUACUUCCUCCCACAGCUCAAAAACAAACUUCAUUGGUUAAAUGACUCUAGAUGGUCCUUUAGGUGUGAAAGUCUGUAGUUAUUUGGCAAACUGUCCAGCAUGUAGCCCACUCUCACUCAACAGUAGUUCCAGCUUCCUUAUGAACCCUAAUGGAAGCAAUUAGGGAUGCAUUUGUUUUACUGAAAAUGAGUGGAUUUAAACAUGGAUGGAUGAAUUCAACGAUUACAUAUGCAAUUAUUUUUCAUUUCUGUGUUAUAUUCGAUAUUUAAAUCAAAUUGGUGUUAAAAUACAUGCACCACAUUAGUUGUAAUAAACCUUAAGCAUAAAUGUAUUAAAAAAAUACAACAGCUA